rnacentral:ncRNA from 1 species
UCUUUAAAGUUUUAUUCUUCUUAUUUAUUCAUUUUUUUCUUUGUAUUAUAUGUAAGUUUUAUUUUACUAAAUGUUCUUUUUGCAGUAAUUUUAUUUAAUUAUCAAUUUAUUUUGGAAUUAGCAAUUGAUUAAGUAUUGGCAUAUUUCGUGCCAGCAGCCGCGGUUAUACGAUUAAUACAAAUGAAUAUUUUUGGUUAAAACAGUUAUUUAUAUUUUUGAAUUUAGUUGUGAAUUUUUUUGGUGAAAUUUAAUAUUUAUUUAUAAUUCUUUUUAUGAUUCUGUGAAACUUAAAUAAUAAACUAGGAUUAGAUACCCUAUUAUUUUAAGUGUUAAUAUUGCUUACCUGGGUACUAUUAGUUAGGGCCUUUAAACCCAAAGAAUUUGGCGGUAUCUCAUUCCAUUCAGAGGAACCUACCCCGUAAUUGACAAUACACGAUUAAUUUUACUUAAUUUAUUUGUUUGUAUAUCUCCGUUAUCAGAGGAUCUUUUUAGAGUUAUAAUUUUCUAAAUUUUUGAUUAUAAAAUAUUUCAGGUCAAGGUGCAGCUUAUAAUUAAGAGGAGGUGGGUUACAAUAGGUUUUUGUCUAUAUGGAUUUGAUUGUGAAAGACGAUUAAUGAAGGUGGAUUUGAUAGUAAUUUGAUUUAUUUAAUUUAAUUGAUAUUGGCUCUGAGGUGUGUACACAUCGCCCGUCGCUCUCAUUAUUAAAUGUUAUUCUUAUUUUUAUUUGAGUUUUUUAAUUUAGAUGAGAUAAGUCGUAACAUAGUAGAUGUACUGGAAAGUGUAUCUAGUAAGGUU